UGGUGACCAUAUGGUGAUCUUCAGGUUAGCC
rnacentral:piRNA from 1 species